GGCCCGGCCCGCCCCAGGCUCCGCUCGGCAGCGCAGAGCGGACGCGCAGCCUGAUCGCUUGGGGGGGGGUUCCCGGCGCAAUAAAAGGCUUUUAAGGGAGCAGCACCCGGCUCGUCCCAGGAGAAAGGCGGCAGCAGGGGAAAGUGUUCAAUAAUCCUGAUGAGGGUUGCACAGCUGAGUGCUGUUGCAGCACUACUUCAGAGGAGCACAUCUCUGAAUACUUAUGGAGCCUUGUCCUACAGGCAGAAGUACGUUAACAAGUUUUAUGCUCCUGAAAAAGUGAAAAAUUAUUGGAGGCAGUAGGAGUGCAAGGAGCACAGCUUUAAAAGAUGAGAGCAAUGAGGAUGGUAGAGGAAGAACACAGAAAUCUCCAGAGACACAGGUUGAAUGGUAAAGAUGUCCUGGAAGAAAAGAAUCAGUCUUGCAACAUGUGAACCUAAGACCAAAUCUAAGAAGGUGAAGUAAAGCUGCAAGGUCUCCUCAUUGCAGACCACUAGACACGUUUCUCCUCAAGCAAAUGGACAAAGAAGAUGGUAGAUGAAAGGAGCCUCAACUCCAUUCUGAAACACACUGGCUAGCAAAGCUGAGUCAAUUACUAGGAGUGUUGUAAUAUUCAGUUGGUGCUAUUCAGAACAGGAAUGAAACUUCAAGAUUAAGGCAAAAGAAGCACAUGGACCACCACUAGUACAAUGUAUGCAAUACCCAGAGUCAAAGACUACACCUCAAGCCAUGAGGGAACUGCUGAGCACUGAGUUUACGUCAUUGAGCUGUCCUAAAUGACAGUAGAUCUGUUUAUAGUGACAAAAGUUUUAGCAAUUAAUUUUGACUUAUCUCUUUGUUCCAUUUAAUUUAUUUCUAUUUUAUGUCUGAAUUCUAUUUUUACAGGAAACUGAACAUGAACCUUUCUUAAAAGCAGGUGGUUUCUUGAAUAGGCCUUCUCAUUUUUAAGUAUUGGGAAAGAAAUAAGACUUCCGUGGUCUCCAGACAAAUGAGACUUAGAGGUUGUAAGUCUUUGACUUUCAAGCUGACCUUUCGUUACUGCUGAGUUGCUGUCAGCCAUGCAAGGCUUGACAGAGCCAAAGCAGGAUUAGAUUUCAGAGACUUUAACCGCCAUACUCAGUGGACCAAACUCUUUAGUGCUUGACCUGAAGAGUAAUUCUAGCUUGCCACAACAUAUGGCUAUACGUAGGUCCUAAAAUCAAGUUCAUUAAAACAUUUAAAUAAACAUGACAGAAAGGAGGAAAAAGUGGAAAUAAAUGAGCAGCUUCUAACAGAAGCUGGAUUUGGCAGCUAUGUCCACUUCAAAAAGUGAUUACAUGGAUGUUUCCGUCUUUUAAAAGGGUCUUUAGUAUAAAACAGUCAAACACCAAAAGAACAAAUUAAAGAGAAGGAAAUUAAUUAAAAAUUGGAAAACUUUAAUGACUUUUGAUGUGAUUAAAGUGGACAUGUUUUGUAGAGAUUUCACCUGUUCUUUAAUUUCCUAUUCUAUCUGGCUGUGAUCUGUCCCUGCAUUGUUCUGCAGUGCAAGAUCUCGAAUCCAAGCAUGCUGUGCAACUCUCCUUUGAAAAAGACUGAAAUUAUAUGUAAUUAAUGCAACUGAUGUUUAACAUGUUUGAAGGGUCAGGAAGAAGAAAUCAGAACUCUUUCGUCUAUAAAGUCCAGGAAAUGAGACUUCAUCCACCAGCUGCAGGUGUGAUUUCAGCCCUUCAUGUUCUCAUUCUCCAGUCCUUACUGAAGCAAGCUAUCUCUUCCAAAACAGUUUAAGGUAAUAGCUGAAUAAAGCAUAACCUUCCCAGGAAAUUUCAGGACUUUAUUAUCUGCUCAUAGACAAAAGCCAGAAAUACAAAGACAGAUAAUGAUAGUAAUAAUAAUAAUAAUAAUAAUAAACCAGCAGGCAAAGAAUAAAAACAAAUCUCUUUUUUAUUAAAGCCUCUCAGGGAAGGAGAUAGACCCAAGUGAAAAUCUGAAUUUUCCCCUAAUCGCUAAGAAAUUUUUGUAUAGCUCAGGAAGAUUUCAUGUGUAAGAAAUGAAGUCUAGGUUUCAAAUCUAAAUUCCUUAUUUUGGACGUGCAUCUAGUUGGAAGUUUACACUUGGUUGUUCCUUGGAUUAAAAUAUAGUUCAGUUAUAUUGAGAGUAUUCUGUCCUUUCCUGAUUUGUUGUGGUUUAACCUAGCAGAUAGGUAAACACCACACAGACAUUUACUUCCUCCCUUUCCGUGGGAGAAUAUUGAAAAGCACAAGAACUCAUGCAUUCGGUUAAGGAUAGUUUAAUAAGAAAGAGGUAAGAAAAUGAGAUAGUAACAAUAAAAAAAAAAAAAAAAACACAACUGAAAGAAAACAACAACAAACACUACAAAUAAAGCAACUGAUGAGCAAUGUAAUUACUCAUUGAUCAACCAGUCCUCUAGCAGUGGCAUAUGCCAAAGCCAACUCCUUUAGUUCUCUGUUUCAGCGUGGCAUCAUAUGGUAGGGGAUAACCGUUUGUCCAGUUUGGGUCAGCUCUCCUGGUUUUAUGGCCUUCCCUCUCCUUGUGCAUUCCCAUCUCCUCACUGUGUGCAGUAUGGGAAGCUGAAAAGUCCUUGACUUAACAUAAAUUCUGCUCAGCAGCAGCUACAACAUUGGUGUGUUAUUAGCAUUAUUCUCAUCCUAAAUCCAAACCACAGAGUCAUCCCAGGCACUAGGAAGCUCAGCAUAAGAAAAUGUCUUUUUGUCCCCCCCUAAAAAAUUAAAUAAGCUCUCAAAGAAAAUAAAACAAUCUUCAAGCUUCUGGUAGUGGAUCAAAAAUGCUGAAGGCACAUGUUACUAAGUACAGAACUGGUACAUGUUCAUACUGCUGCUUCGAAUUUUUUCUAAAUAUUUUGAUAAGGCAGUUUUGUUCUGGCAGACUCAGGAUCAGAUCAAGUAUCAUCUGUUCUGCAGCUACACAAAGGCAGACCAAGCACCAUAUGGUGUGCUCUGGCACAGCACUCAUGGCAUAGCAGAAAUAUAACCAAGCAGUCACACCAGACCUAGAUCAGAUUCCUAUUGCUUUUGAGUGUAUAAAUCAACUAUCAAUGAAUAUGGAACCACUAUGUGCCAUUGUUUUGAAAUAAAUACCCCUCCAAUACCAAGUAUUAGCCUUAAUGUUUACAAGGAAACUAUUUGUACGGAUGCCCAUGUGUACACAUUGGACACUGAUGUUUUCUUAGAACUUUCUGGCCAAUGUCCAAUUAAUUUUUGCUGCAAAAUGUAUAUUUGAUAACUUAUUUUACUGUGAUCUUUCCUCAGAAAAUUUAUUUCAGUCCUAUGGGAGUAAAAUUCAUUAAAUACUAAAUAAGUAGUGCAUAAUGCUGCCCACAGGGUUUGCACAGGUACUUGCUGUAUCUCCUUUUCUGCUUCCAUAUAUACAAAAAGUGUCCAUAUGUUUCUACUUGCUGUUCAGAAAAGGAGGCUAAUGAAAUAAGGAUAAAGUUUUUAGAUCUCUAUAAUCAGAUAUAUCUUUCAGAUAAUUUAUAUGUAGUCAUUUUCAAAUUUCUAAAAGUUCUCUGAAAAAGAGAUGGAAUUUUUAAGAUUUCUAAGAAAGUAAAAUUGGAGAAGAUUCAUUUUAAUUUUUUUUUUAAACACAGUUUUGUGGAAAAUAAAUAUUUGUUUCAAGCUUUUAAAAACUUUAAUCUUCUAAGAAACUAAAGAGAAAUUCUUAGUUAAAAAGAUAUUUCAAAGAGAUCCUUAAAAAUAUUUAAACAUCUAUUAUUUUCUUAAUAAGUUAAAUGUGCACUUGGAAAGCAAUUCCAUAAUGCAAAGCAAUUCCAUAAUGCUAAGCAUGCUUUUUUUUUUUUUUUUCUCUCCUAUGGAACAUCUAUUUAUUCUACUCUAAUCAGUUCACACCUGUGCAAAAUGAGUGUACGCAGAUGUAUAAAGCUUCUGUUAUAAUGUGGUUUGGCUUCCACUCACAGGGGAGAUCUCAGCUCCAAGAAUGUCAGAGAUUUUCUCAGACUCAUUUCUUCACACCUAAUUCAUGCUUCAUCUUUAAGAAUCGGUGAUUUCACACUGCUCUAAAUGUUGCUACUCCUACUGGUACAACUGCCAGAUCAUUCACAUUAAACAUUCUUACUAUCACAACAAUUCAGAAUUUUUUACUUUAUCAAGGGCCAAAAUAAUGGUUCAUGCCCUUGGUAUUUCCUGUCUAGACUACUAUAUUGGUCUUUUGGACACAUUUCCUGCUUUUUCCAUAGUUGUUUUAAAACCAAAAUGUACAAAACUCUGUAGAUUGUUUCUUACUUUUUUAAGGUCUUGAGAAGAUGAUAGAUUUUUUUCUUGGCUCGAAGUACUGGAAGACUGUAUCCCCAGUCAGAAAUCUAUCCUUUAUUUAUUCUUGAGUUAUGAUUACAUGAGAAAGCAGGAACUUGUUCUGGAAGUUAAUGUACAAUAGAAUCUCCUUUAGAUAAUGACGAGCUUGCAGCAACAGCCUCUGCAGAAUUCUAAUCAUGUUGUAGAGAUGAAAGAUGACAACUCCCUGCAUUCAACCAGUCAGUAGAGACACUGAGAGGUCAAAUAUUCAGGUGAGUUUCAUUCGCUAUUUUAUUCUGACUGUACUAGAGUUAGCUGCCCCAUCUAAAUUAACCACAUCAUCUCUGUUCUGGUCAUGAGAAGAUCAGAGGAUGUGUUUGCAUCUCCAGGUAGUUAUCCAUCUGAAUUGUUGUAGAUGUUUUUUGAAAUGCAUCAUAAAGAGCUUCUACAUGAUGACUGUUUCAGAGGGUCUCUAAGCUUAGACUGAAUGAUGAGUUAGAAUCCAUGGAAUAGAUAGAUGUUAUUAACUGAUUUUCUUGUUUCAGUUUUUUUUUUUGUUUUUUUUUGUUUUUUUUUUUAGUGGACAGUGAUUUAUUUCCCAUACUUCUUCCCCUGAUAUUUUGCUGUUGGACUACUCAGAAAACUGUGACCCCGCUGUUACUCAUGGACACCACACUGCAUUCUCAUUUGCGCUGGGAACAUAUUCUGCUUCAUGGCCCGUGUGAUUUUCUUACAUCUGGGAUUUCAACUAAGUACCUUUGUUCUUCUAUAAUCACGAAUUUUAUUUUAUUCAGUUUCAUAUUUGACAUGUUUUUAUACAGACAGUGUUAUUCAUGCAUGUUUCCUAACCAGUACUCCAACAAAGCUCAAGUGUUCUGUUGAUACUAUUGUGAACAGUUUUUAACAAAGAUUUUUGGAAACUUUCCAAUAAAAAUGCAACAGAAGCAGACAAGGAGAGGUUAGGCAAACAGUGCUGCAUUAUACAUGACCACAUAUAAUACUGUACUCAAGAAAGGCUAAAGAAAUAUAUUUGCUCAAAGGGACCAUUUAUGGGAAGUAAUGGUAAUAAACACAAGUAAAUAUUUGAGAAUCAUCUUUAGUUUAAAGAAACAGCAAAGACCAAUGCCACCCCUACUACAGAUGAUCUUGUCUCAUUACAAUACUUUCUAUUUUUCAAACGUGUGUGAAACAAAUGUUGCUUCAAAAAUAAUACUUUAAAAUGCUUUCACAAAUAAAGAAUUUAUUCUAAAUCUCUGUCAGUAUUGGUAAAUACAAAAUAAGGUUGAUAACUGAUUAAGGCUCUGCAUGUUUUAUUGUUUGAGAUUGCUAUAAGUAAAGAAUUGUGGCUGUCUUAUGCUAUUCUAGAAAACAUUCAGCAGUCUUGUCUAAACUGCAGUGACAUACACUAUUUUUAUCUACUCCCUUCUUCUUUCAGAGAUUUUUUAUUUACCUUGUCAGAUCGGCAAGCAAGAAUUCUCCAUGUUCCUUUCUCUGUGAAGAUAUCUGCCAAGUCCUCACUCCCUGUAUUGGGAUAGGUGAGAAUGUACAUGGGCCUCUUUGUCAUCUCAAAACUGAUGCAUCCUUCCUUAGAGAACAGGACUGAGUAGGGCUACAGCAGUCCCUGGGUCAUGCUAACAGAGAAGUAGAGGGCCUUAAGAAGCUCAUGACUGAUCCAGAUUCUUUUCAAAAUCCUGAUUAUCAGGGAAAUGAAAUAACAAAUUUGGCAUGAAUUAAUUUAAUAUGAAAGGUUUGUUCCUUCUCUGUAGUACCAUUCACUCACGUACUAUCAUAACAGAUUCUGAGUUUUGUAGAAGGAAACCCCUCAAAAGCAGUUUCAUUACUUUAGGCUUUAAUGUGAAUCCAUGACAAUAUUGAAUCCUUAUAGCAUUGAUACAAGUGUCAGUGCUGCAGAUGGAAACGCUCUUCUAAUAAAACAAACCUGACUAAUUCUACUAAUGCUCUUGUUCUGUUCCUUUUUCUCAGAGAUGCAUCAAAAGUUGAAACCUGGGCUUCCAGGAAAUGGAGAUUUUCUCCAGCAAGCUCAUCACUAUUUAUAUAUUAAUAACAUCUGAGCAACAUGCUCUGGAUAUAUACCAGAUUUACCUCUUUACUUCACAUCUUCUUUGAAUCCUGAAUUUCCCAUGAUUAUAACAUCAAUAGAGAAUUUGUCAGAGCUUGCUUUGCAGUUCUAUUUCUCCAGUACCGAUUUCCAUGCAUUAGUAAUAUGUGAUAUACAUGUAUUUCAACUCUAAUAAUAAAUUUCAAAUGCAUUUUCAUCAUCACAUCUCUUCACCCCCUCUCAGUAUAGAAUAUAAUAUUUCGCCCCUCAGCUGCUCUGCUUUUUUAACUCUCUUCUAGAUGUUGCACAACAAUUAUAAGAAGUAUAUUUGUGUUUAAUUUUAAAAUUCUGAAUGAAAACCAGUAACAUUAAUACAGAAAUUAAUACUUUUAGAAGUUACAAUAACACAUCUUUAUUUGAAAUAAGUUAGUAGAAUCUUAGUAGUGUUACCCUCAAAAAAGCUAUGAGAUCCUAUAGUUUGGUAAAACAAUUACUGAACUUUUGUAACUUCCAACAAGCCACUGUAAAAGUAGGGUUUUUUUUUUUUUUUUUUUUUUUUUGGUCUAGACAUUGCCUAAUACAAUCAAGUGAGCUAAAAAUUACAAACAUAUUGGCAUCUCAUUUUAAUGCUUAUAAAGUUAUGAAGUGAGAUGAUUUCAUAAAAGAAUGAAACAAAUAGUUUGCUCUCAGCAAACACAUGGAAAUAUAAUGUAUGUCUAUACCUCACACUUAUUCCCAGGCUAGUAUCAGUCUGCAUUGUCAAGAGGUUACUCAGUAUAAAUGUGCUGCUGCCAGAUCUGAAUUGCCUUACUGGCUUCAAGGUUGAAGCACACAUCUUUCUAGUGCUGAGAGCAGAGAGGGACGGUUGGAAACCUCCAGCAAAGGAGGCAAACCUAUUGGAUGGGAAAGGGACAGGAGGCAGAGGAUGUCAGGAGUGGGACUGUGGUUGUUUGUUUCUUUUCCCCUUCUCUUCAUUGUUUGUCAGCUAUCUCAUUUACCCAAAGGUGACCCUUAGAUGAUGCCAUUAGUGAGAAAUUUCUCCACUGAGAAUAUGCUUCUGUUAUCAAAGAGCUGGUAAAGGAAUUUUGUUGUUGUUUUUUAAGCUAAUGUAAUCAUUAUCAGGAUUAGAUCUUGAUAAAUAAACUGUAUUCUUAAAAUCCAUUUUCCAAGCUAAAAGUCAGAAAUUAGAGGAUUGUCUGAUUACUUUAUCCUUGUCUUGUCUCUCAAGGCCUAACAAGACCCCCAGACUUAAUACACAGACCAGGAUCUCUCUGAGGUCCCCUAAUUUAAUGUGAUGUCAUAACAGACUCAUAAAGUCUCUUGACUGGAUUUGAUCAUCUAUUCUUUCAAAGUACUUCCGUAGGCAAAGCUGAAUGUUCUCUGGUGAAUAUCUGAAGGGAAACCUCAUAAGUACGUGUGAUUCAUAUGUUUUAGCUAACCAGCCCCCAGAGCCACUCUAUUGAAAGCCUGUGCAAAACAAAGCUGAGAUUUACAGUCAUCAGAGGAGACAAAGUGAAGCUCUCUGAGAUUGUAAAGAUAAUGUAGUGUAUAUAAAAUGUAUGCAGUUCAUACAUUCUGGAUUUCUUUUUUUCAUAUUUUACAUUGAUCACAAAUACAAAUUAAAAAGUUACUAUGCUCAUUCUACACAAAACUCAUUCACAUGAUACACAGAUAAAUGCUACAAAAAGAAGAAAAUCUGUACUUUAUAGAGGUGUAAUUCUGUAUGUGUCUGUCCAAUAUAUAUUCAUUUUCUGUUUAGUUCUUAUUUUGUAGAAUGAAUUCACAUGGGUUGCCCAGGGAUAAGAGCCACUGUUGAAAUGAUAAAUGGGAAUGGGUAGCAUUGGGAUUGGGGGCACAUCUUCCAAGUUUAAAAAGCUGCAAGGCAUCAUCAGUAGCUUAAUUUAGAAACAGGCAGUGCUAUAGACUCACACUGCUCUGUUAGCUAAAUUAGACUAAUCUGUUUAACUUUGAAUGCAAUUCCAAAGAAAUUACUGGUGUGUGAGCUUCACAUAGCUGCAGAGAAGCUGGCAAAUUGACCAUGCACUGUGCACUUAGCAAAAGGAUUCAAAAUCAGAAAAGGUAUCACAAACUAUGAUUUCAGUUUGUGAAGUCUUUGAGAGAAAGCAUGCCAAUCAAUAAUUAGAGUAACUGACAAAAGCGAUGCACAAUGAAUGCAGCAGAGGCAGAUUUUAAUAUACUGCCUGCAAUUUGUGUGCAGGACAGUAAUCAAAAUACGGAUAAUGUAGCAGUGAGGCAAUUAAAAAGAAAAAAGAAAGAAAAAGACAAAGUAUUUUAACAUUUUUCAUGUACACUCUGUUUAGUCAAUGGAAAGAGACAACUCUGUCCAGAAAGCAAUUUACCUUAUUUUCAAAAGAAAAUGAAUUGCUUUCUGGAGUGCAUCACUAUCUACUCAUUUGUUAUGGAAAAUGCCCAGCUAAGUGGCAGAGAAUAUACCCUAUAUUUUGUAGGAAUCUAUAAUAGUUUAAAAACUUUUAUUGAAAAAGUUUUUCAAACCUGUUACAUUCAGAUAAAUCUGAAAAUAAUAGUAAUAACAAUAACAGUAUAUUGAAAAAGUAAUUGCGUGUUUAACAUAUGCCUAUAUUCUACACCUUUAUGAAUGCCUAUGCACACUUUUUCUGGAAUAAUAGAAUCAUAGAACAGCUUGGGUUAGAAAGGACCUUAAAAAUGAUCUAGUUCCAAAAUGUCAGCUGUGGAAAGGGUUGCCACCCAGCAGAUCAGGCUGCCGUGGGCCCCAUCCAACCUGUCUUUGAGCACCUCUAGAGAUGGGGCAUCCACAGCUUCUCUGGGCAGCUGUGCCAGUGCCUCAGCACCCACUGACUUUUUCUCUAUGUAUCCCCUCUCUUAGUUUAGAAUAAUUCUCUCUUGUCCUGUCACUAUCAGGCCAGGUAAAAAGUUAGUCUCUCUCCUCUUUAUAAGCUCCCCUCAAAUACUAGAAGGCUGCAAUUAGGUUUCCCCGGAGCCUUCUCUUCUCCAGGCUAAACAGACCCAACUCCCUCAGCCUGUCUUUAUUGGAGAGGUGCUCCAGCACUCUGAUCAUCUUCAUAUUCUCCUUUGGACCCACAUCAACUGCUCCAGGUAGACAAGC
rnacentral:lncRNA from 1 species